AUCAGAAUGUCGCGGUGAAUACGUUCCCGGGUCUUGUACACACCGCCCGUCACACCAUGAGAGUUGGCAAUACCCGAAGUCCGUGAGCUAACCGCAAGGAGGCAGCGGCCGAAGGUAGGGUCAGCGAUUGGGGUGAAGUCGUAACAAGGUAGCCGUAGGAGAACCUGCGGCUGGAUCACCUCCUUUCUAAGGAA
rnacentral:rRNA from 1 species